GAGAACAUUCCUAACAAUUUACGCAUCACAAAGGGUAUAAAAUACGCUCGAGAUAAACAAACAACACCGGAAGAAACAUAAACACCACAAGUUUAAACCACAUCCAAAGGUCUUCAAGCCUUUCCUUCACUCGUGGAAUCCUCGUUUGCUUGCAAGCAGGCUUCGUUGUAGCUGUGAUCCGGGAAUAUAACUCUCAUCGUUCAUCAUCAGCCUUUGGAUAGAUUCAAGUUGUUCUAGAAGCACAACAACAAAGUGCAGACACAAGACACAAAAGAACCAAAGAUGAAACUCAGUGGCGAAGAAAACCAGGACGAAAACCCUUGACACAAUCAUGAACGCCCGCCAAAAUAAUAUUGCAGCAAAGCCAAUCCAUCCCAGCUCUCCUUUGUCUGCUUUGGAGUCCCUCAAUGCGUUCUGAUAAUUUGUCAAAGCCAGUGAAUAAGAAAUAAAUGAGCAACAUAUAGCAGCAAGUGUUUUUAUAUCUUGUACUCUCAUUGAGAUUAAGUGUUCU